UAACCUUAAUCGUCUUUCGCCUCGCUGUCAACCUAACGUAUGCACGUAGCCAAAGCGUAUCAGAAGCUCCUAUACGUCAACUCGGCUACGGCUCGCCGACCACUGUUUAACCUGGUUGACACUAGAUCAGUUAAGUGUAGCGCACGGUUAUGACCCGGUUUACAAUACGUGAGACGUGGGUGGGCCCCACGUCCUUGGUAAAACAAACUGAUACAGUUAUUGUUAUUUAUCUGUGCUAAGAAGAUCGGAAUGACAAUUGGAAGUUACAUGGCGGGGAAUCCUGGAUAAUGUAGAAAGAUGAAAGGAGACUGUGUUUACCGUUGGAUGGAAAUAUAAUACUAGCAGAAGCUGUCUUGCUUUCUGCUGCAGCAGGUCCUUUCCACUCUGUCGAUCCAGCGCAAGCGGGCCCAAGUUGUCUAAUUUCUUAGAUUAUUUCUUUUUAUUUGUGGGGAUUACCUACGAAACAGAUUGUAAAUUACAAUGGUUUGAAUUUAUGCGUAGGUAGUUAUCGUCUACGCACAAGUUCGUUUGAAAAAAAAAGUGUUUUUAAAGU